UUUGUAUCUCCCACCCCACCUUCCCGACGCAGGACAGCGGCAAGUCUCAACUUUAAUGACAUGAAAGGAAAACGCAAAGGGAAACCUUUUCUUUAAAGAAAAGGGAAGGCAGACCGGGUUGCUCAGAACUGGCCAGCAAGUCACAUCCUUUUGCUUUUCCCUGAAAGAAAGAGAGCGAGAGAAUCCAAGCAUCACCUUAUUAUUUCCUUAUCAAGAUCAACUCCUGCUUCCUGGAAAGUAUUGCUGAGAUGGGUCCUCUACAAAGCCAUCCUUUCUGAUAAGACACUAUCCACCAUUUUCUGACUCCACAGCUUCAACAAAAUGGUGAUACAGCAAUGGAUUGAUUUCAAUUUGACCGACUAAGAGAAAGAAAAAU